rnacentral:rRNA from 1 species
CCUACGGGCGGCAGCAGUGAGGAAUAUUGGUCAAUGGACGAGAGUCUGAACCAGCCAAGUAGCGUGAAGGAUGACUGCCCUAUGGGUUGUAAACUUCUUUUAUAAAGGAAUAAAACGAGGCACGUGUGCCUUUUUGCAUGUACUUUAUGAAUGAGGAUCGGCUAACUCCGUGCCAGCAGCCGCGGUAAUACGGAGGAUCCGAGCGUUAUCCGGAUUUAUUGGGUUUAAAGGGAGCGUAGAUGGGUUGUUAAGUCAGUUGUGAAAGUUUGGGGCUCAACCGUAAGAGUGCAAUUGAUACUGGCAGUCUUGAGUACAGUUGAGGUAGGCGGAAUUCGUGGUGUAGCGGUGAAAUGCUUAGAUAUCACGAAGAACCCCGAUUGCGAAGGCAGCUUACUAAACUGUGACUGACAUUGAUGCUCGAAAGUGUGGGUAGCAAACAGGAUUAGAUACCCUUGUAGUC